rnacentral:rRNA from 1 species
UACGUAGGGGGCAAGCGUUGUCCGGAUUUACUGGGCGUAAAGAGCGCGCAGGCGGUCGUAUAAGUCGAAUGUGAAAGCCCCCGGCUCAACUGGGGAGGGUCAUUCGAUACUGUUCGACUCGAAGGCAGGAGAGGGAAGUGGAAUUCCGGGUGUAGUGGUGAAAUGCGUAGAUAUUGGAAAGAACACCGAUGGCGAAGGCACUCUACUGGGCUAUUACUGACACUCAGAGACGAAAGCUAGGGGAGCAAAUGGG